ACUACAUAGGUAACGAUACUGCGGACUUACGUAGUACGAUGCAUCGUUAAACGACGCAGGUGUUUCCCGAAACCAUAGUUCGAACGAACGUUCGCAAACACUGUCGUUAUGUUGUUCGCGAUCAGCUCGCGAUCUAUAGUUAGAAGCGUAGUUCCAUGUAAAUUCGUCAGCGAUGGUGGAAAAUGCAGUUUUCGUAUAUAGUCACCGUGUAAGUAAGAAAUGUAAUAAUGUUUAAUACAUAAUAAAGAAUAAUUUAGCCUUACGAUCACAUAUAAUGUUAAGUUGUCUGAAAAUGUAUAUUGAAACGCAGAGCUCGAAAAGCUCAUGUAGCAGAAGGACUGUCAGGCACCUACGAUAAAUAUCUAACUUUAACACAAAUUUGAUAAACAUAUUAGCGGUAUAACAGACCCUGGUUGAUCCGUAUGGACCCCCCCGGCCCCCGUAUGUGAAACGCAGAUUAACUGCACAUGUUAACCGUGAGUGUGAACGGUUUUAUUGCCGCUGUCACUUUUUAAACUUAAAAUAAUCUCUUACAAAAGAGAAUACCUCGGUUAUGUGUGAAACACGAGAAUUUUAAUUUUUCUGUCAGAAUGCAAUAACAAAAAACUGCACGAAUGCAAUAACAUGAUAGCCAUGGCAUUUUUAGUGAAAUCCGCUUCCCUCCUCGUGACACAUGCGUCGCCUGUCUAAUCACAACUAUUCUAUUUUUCAGAGAUAAUUUAUUUUAUGAUCUUGAGAAACAACUUUUGCUAUAUUGAGAUCAUAAGGAAAAUAAGUCGUGAUCUCUACAUAAGACAGAAAAAGACAUUGAUGUAUUCAUCUAUAGACGUUGGUCCAAUGCAGAAUUGCAGUAAUGAAAAGACGGAGAUAGAGCAGUCUGUGUUCAUGUGAACGGGCAUGUUAAAAGUUCACCGCUUUGAGUUUUCUUUCAGUUCUUUAAGUAAUAAAUGGAAAGCAUAGUCUAUCUAUCUUGGCGGUUAAAAUUUGAAAAUGACAGCUCGCGCGCUUGCUCACCCAGUCCGUAAAGAACUCACGUUGACACUGAAUAUGAACAGUCUGCUAAAAAUUUAACUUUGCUAUCUCAUGAUCUCUUCGCCACUCCAGCACCACAAUAUUUAUUCAACCUGCGACAUGUUCAGAAUAAAAAAAAAUGUAACAUUAUUCCACUAAUAAGUUGGUAAGUAGUUUCAUUGUUGGCACCGGUGACAAGUCUAUAUCGGCUAUGGAUUGAAUUAUCCAGUUAUCCGGAAGGUUUGGACGCGAUAGCACGUCCCACUUUCGCUGAGGUCACACUUCCAAAUUCUGAGACCAGGGCCAUUUCUUGCGGUGGAAACGCAUGGAACUAGUUCCGGAUUGGGGAGAAGUCCGGCACCACGUUGGUGGAAAUGAGGCAUCUGGAAGUUGAAUGAGACGCCAACUUAUUCUAGUGUACAUGAGCUUUACCCUGUACGCAGCCGCAAACCGUAUCUGACCGUAAUACGGAUCUGCUGACUUGGGGGCGGACCCGGCCUGGAAUUGACUGCUUUCUGGGAGGAAGAGAAAUAAGGAGAAAAAACUACAAUCAAAUACAGUAAUUGCUGUCUGAUGGCUGAACAAAAAUCUAGUCCUGUAUGGCAGCAUUUCACCAAUCCAACACCACGAAAAGCCAGGUGCAAUAUCUGCUGCAGGCUGGUGAGCCUGGGAGCUGAAGGAGUAGUUUGCUGCUAAAGGGAUUCUGGUGCUGCUAUUUUUAUUGUUUAUAAGUUUAAGUUGUUUACAAGUUGUAUUGUGUUUUUGUUAUUUAAGUUUAUAUUUAAAUUUACACAAGUCAGUAUUCAAUAAAUGCUAAGUUGAGAAA